GACGAACGCUGGCGGCGUGCUUAACACAUGCAAGUCGAACGGAAAGGCCCUGCUUUUGUGGGGUGCUCGAGUGGCGAACGGGUGAGUAACACGUGAGUAACCUGCCCUUGACUUUGGGAUAACUUCAGGAAACUGGGGCUAAUACCGGAUAGGAGCUCCUGCGGCAUGGUGGGGGUUGGAAAGUUUCGGCGGUUGGGGAUGGCCUCGCGGGUUAUCAGCUUGUUGGUGGGGUAGUGGCUUACCAAGGCUUUGACGGGUAGCCGGCCUGAGAGGGUGACCGGCCACAUGGGGACUGAGGUACGGCCCAGACUCCUACGGGAGGCAGCAGUGGAGAAUAUUGCACAAUAGGCGGAAGCCUGAUGCAGCAACGCCGCGUGCGGGAUGACGGCCUUCGGGUUGUGAACCACUUUCGCCUGUGACGAAGCGUGAUUGACGGUAAUGGGUAAAGAAGCACCGGCUAACUACGUG
rnacentral:rRNA from 1 species